rnacentral:rRNA from 1 species
GGAUGCGAUCAUACCAGCACUAAAGCACCAGAUCCCAUCAGAACUCCGAAGCUAAGCGUGCUUGGGCGAGAGUAGUACUAGGAUGGGUGACCUCCUGGGUAGUCCUCGUGUUGCAUUCC